UCUGGCGGCCGUAGCGCGGUGGUCCCACCUGACCCCAUGCCGAACUCAGAAGUGAAACGCCGUAGCGCCGAUGGUAGUGUGGGGUCUCCCCAUGCGAGAGUAGGGAACUGCUAGGC
rnacentral:rRNA from 1 species